rnacentral:lncRNA from 1 species
CCUCUUUCUCCUUGUUUCAUAAUGAACAAUUAAUAUUCUUCAAUAAUCUGAUACAUUGUAUGUAUGUGUAUGUGUGUGUGUGUGUGUGUGUGUGUGUGUAUAAAAGGGCUAUGUCACCUAUUUUCUUAGAUUUGAAUAAGGGUUGUUGUUACAUAUGGCAUCUGCUUCUACUUGGCAAUUAGUUAUGAUCUAGGAACUCUUGAACACGUGCUCCCUACCCACAAGGAUUCCUGGUGGCGCUGGGUCCUCUCGACCUUGACCAGAGCCCUCGUUUACUCUUAGCUGCUUAUUGUCACCCUACAGACCACCCACGCCGACCUCUUUCUGUUGCUGUUUUGGGCGUGGAUCUUGAUAACAGGGCUUUCUCACCUCACCUCUUGUGCUUGACUUGUUCUAGUUAUUCUUGGCAUGACUUUUCUAUCGGAUUUCCAGACAGUGCUAAAUUUAUUGAUUGGAUGACUACAUCGACAGGCGCUGGGUCCUAAGAUUAGCUGUAUUAGGCCUGCUGGAUGACCUCCACUCACAAGGCUGAAACGGGAACAAGAAUAAUCAGCCCCUCCAAUAAUCAACUUGGGUCCUUUCCCUUUGAAAGACAAUGAUAUAAAAUGGAUGUCUAUGAUGUGUGUAUGUACCUCUCAUUAAGUCAUCCAUUU